ACAUCAGUGUGACAACUGUGUGGCUCGUUUCUCCCUUGGCAGGACAAACGGCAAAGGCCUGCGCAGACCAAGGCUCCUCUGCAGCUGUCCAGGAUCACAAUCACCGGCACCCCACCUCUACCGUACUGCUGGCUAUAGCUGAUGUACACUCAUCUGUUUUCUUUCUGAGAGACACAGGACUGGCCGGGAUCAAAAACAAUCUUCCUGGUUAAUCAAACAGUCAUUUAAGUGGAUUCUAUAAAUGAGCUUUAUCCUCCACAUGGUUAUUUACCCGUGAGCUUCACGGAAGGUACCGUAUCUUGGAAAGAAAUGGACAAGGGGGCUGGCAGGCUAAACACGGAAGCCCAGGCCCUCCACUUAUCAGGACACACACUGCCAGGUUGACCUGGGCCGGGGCCUCAGUUUCUCUACUUGUGAAAUGGAAACAAUCCAGCUACCCCCAGAAGGCUGUGAGUGUGCAGGUAAGCAGUAGCUCCCACCCCCAGGGGUCUCGCUGAUGGUGCUGUCCCUGUCCCCUUCACCCUUGCCCCCUCCAAGCUCGAAGAAGCAUUGUGAGGACUCAGCGUGCCACUGGAGCAGUGCAUGGUGGCGCCACGGGCAGCGGGGCCCUCCCCCAGCCUUGGCCCCUUCUCUCAAGAUGGUCUGCCUGUGUCACGGCUGAGCUCACAAUGAGUCAGUCACAGACGCUGCCCUCACAGCCCACUUCAGGGGCUUGAAGUCACAUCCUGCCUAACCCAACUCAACAUGAUUUAUUCCACCCCAGGAAUGCAGCUCGAUUCCCAGAAUUUGGUCGACAACUUUAGUCAAAAGGCUUGAUCUUGCAAGGGCUCCAUUUAUAGGCUCCGCUGCACUGGCAGCCAGGGGAGCCCCAGCUCAGCUCAGACCUGCAGGAGGGAAUCCCACAAAGUCAGGGCUGUGACAAGCACCCACAGCCAUCUCAGCCUGGAAGCUCCAAUUUUUUUCUAAAUUUCACCCAGGACAAAAUUUGCAUAUAUACAUACAUAUAUUUAAUUUUAAAACUUUUUAUCACAAAUACAGGCAAACAUAUUGAACAAAAGCUUCACAAAAUGAUGCAUACAUGGUGAAAGAUCUGAUACUUUCUACUUGAGUCUAUUUUAUUUCGUUUCUAAAAAUACUGAUUGCCACCCACUAAAGUAAUUUCACGACCCGCCAUUGAGUCUUAGCUGACAGUGUGGAAAACACCGGCUUGACUCAAACUUCACUGGGCAGGAGAGACUUAACUAGACCAUCCACUGGCCCACGGUCACUUCACGAGCUAGCCCAAGAAGAACUCAAGUCCAAAGCCAAAGAGGAAUCUCUGUGGGGGUCCAGCCUCCGAGAGCUGAGAAGGUCUCAGGAAGAGGUCUGAGGAGGCAGAGCUACAACCAGGAUAACCCAGUGCGCAGUGCCAGCCCUGGGCACAGGAAGACAUAAAGAACAGUACCAUGCUUUCCAGAGCUGAGUGGGCAAGCUGCAGCUCAGAGCUGAGUGGGCAAGCUGCAGCCCAGAGCCUCCUGCCUCCCUGGAGAAGAUGAACCAUGGAGUGAAGAAAGCCAUUUCACACUUUCAAGAAAAAUUAACUUACAGUUCCUAGAGUGAGCUGCACAGCACCCUUGUCUGAAACCUGGCCAAUCCCAGCUGUCCUGGAGCAGGGAGCCUGGCUGGCAGGGAUGACCUCAUGAUGUCCUUCACCAGAAACCUGGCUGCUGUGUAUUUUACCACCCACCAAGCACUGCUCCUGGGUCCAAGCCGCAGUCUGGUUCCAAAGUGGCAAGGGCUAUACAAGACAGAAGGAAGAAGCAGUAGCCCCUUCCCUAGGAAGACACAAAUUCAGCCACAUCAUCCUGGCCUGGCCCAAUUCCUAUACCCGCUCACCCCGCCAAGACAUUCAAUAAAGAGCUAUAUACAUACAGAAUACAGAGAUCUGUGCACAGAGACCUGUGUACUCACAGAUGCCUGUACACACACACCCCGAGGAUGCUGGGAUCAGAGCAGAAAUGUGAGCCAUUCCUGGGCCAAGCCAAUCUGUAUAUAAGCGCUGCAUUCUCUAUUUAGCAAGAAUCUAGGUGAAUUAUUUAAUCAUUUCUUUAUUGCUAAAAUAGGAUUUAGGAAAGCCUCCUCAAAGGACGGUAGGAGCAUGUGUGCACAAUUAAAUAAGAGCCAUAACACUUCGUUCUGAGUGCUUUUGGAGUAAUCACCCAUAGUAUCCCUAUGAGGUAGGUUUUUCUGGUAUGCUGCUUUGCAGAUGGGGAACCUGAAGCCCAGAAUGUGUACACAACUGCUGGUGGUGUCUACACCACUCGGUGCUCUUGGGGGGGGGUCUCUGCCUAACCACGUGACUCCUUGCUUCAGAGGAUACAAUGAGGCAGCAAAUGCACAGGAAGCAUCCAGCAAGCCUCCUAGUAGGUCCUGGUAACCAGCAGUUGCAAUACAGUAAGAAGGGGCAAGUGCAGAGAGGUCUCCAAGCUUCCCAGUCCCACAGCCAAAGCAGAAGAGUUGGUCCUCCUGGCUGACAUCAACCCCCAGCUCCAAUGCAGACUUCCCUUUCCAACCCCUCUGAACCUGAUUUCUCUAAAAUGGGGGGGACCCCUCCCACUGCCCCUCCCAGCAGUCUCAGAGAGAUCACACACCACAGCCAGAAAUUUAAUGAGCCUGGAGUUGUCCAUGACUCCCAACCAACCACAACCAAUCAGGAAUGUCCCAGGUCCCCAGCACAACAAAGCUGCCUAGUAAAGCCCAGAAGGGCCAGGAAGGGCCAGAGAGUUCGGCCGCCCCAGAUCUCAGCUCAGGUCUGCAACAGAGGUUUGCAUUCUUCACAUUCUUGUCUGAAAGCCAGAAGUAAGAAAAGGGGUGGGCGGUGCUGGAGGGAGAGGGAGAGGGAGAGGGUCCACUAUUUCAACCUAAAGAUAACUGAAGCCUGGAACUUGUUUUAAAGGGUUAGAGAAAACCCCUGCCCUACAGCCUCUCUUCCAAGGUCUAUGACACUGUGGCAGCUACAGGAAUAGGGCUGUGCCACCUGGAAGCACCCUCAGCCUGAGGUCCCCAGUGUCCUCAAUCUGAGGAUACCACGAUUACUAUAUGGCAGGAGGGACUC